GGGGGCGCCGUGCGCGGCAGCGGCUCUCGAGGGCACUGCGGUGAGGCGCGAGCGGCGUGCGGGCUUGUGCGGGGCCGGGGCCGCGGCCGCGCUGCGGAGAUGUGACUCGGGCCGAGGGCCAGCGGGGGCGUGGGCGCUGCGGGGCGCGGGCUCGGUCAGACGUGGCCUGGAGUAUCAGAUUGAAAGAACACAAAAGGGUAUACUGAGAAGAACGUUCCUGGUGUCAGAGAGAAAGAUGAGAACCUAUCAGGUGCUCGCCUUCCUCCUGGUCUUGGUGAUCGCCUCUGUGGCCUCUGAAAACGCCAGCACGUCCACGGGGCUGCGGGCUCGACCUCCUCCCUCAGUACGUGUCCCUGUGCGACCUGGACGCCAUUUGGGGCAUCGUGGUGGAGGCGGUGGCGGGGCAGGCGCCCUGAUCACGCUGCUCUUGAUGCUCAUACUCCUGGUGCGGCUGCCCUUCAUCAAGGACAAGGGAGAAGAAGAGGCCCGUGUGCCUCCACUUCCUCUUCCUCCUGGGGACCCUGGGCCUCUUUGGGCUGACGUUCGCCUUCAUCAUCCGGAUGGAUGAGACUAUCUGCUCAAUACGCCGCUUCCUCUGGGGUGUCCUCUUCGCGCUCUG
rnacentral:lncRNA from 1 species